AGUGAACGCUGGCGGUAGGCCUAACACAUGCAAGUCGAACGGCAGCACAGUAAGAGCUUGCUCUUACGGGUGGCGAGUGGCGGACGGGUGAGGAAUACAUCGGAAUCUACUUUUUCGUGGGGGAUAACGGAGGGAAACUUACGCUAAUACCGCAUACGACCUACGGGUGAACGCAGGGGAUCUUCGGACCUUGCGCGAUUGAAUGAGCCGAUGUCGGAUUAGCUAGUUGGCGGGGUAAAGGCACACCAAGGCGACGAUCCGUAGCUGGUCUGAGAGGAUGAUCAGCCACACUGGAACUGAGACAGGGUACAGACUCCUACGGGAGGCAGCAGUGGGGAAUAUUGGACAAUGGGCGAAAGCCUGAUCCAGCCAUACCGCGUGGGUGAAGAAGGCCUUCGGGUUGUAAAGCCCUUUUGUUGGGAAAGAAAAGCAGCAGGUUAAUACCCCGCUGUUAUGACGGUACCCAAAGAAUAAGCACCGGCUAACUUCGUG
rnacentral:rRNA from 1 species